UAUGGCGUAUCCUCAGUGACUCAAGGUGUGCCAGUGUAUGUGAAGAACUGCCUUGUUUGUAGACGUCCAGUGAGGUUUCAGGAGUAUCAGUCUGGAUUGCACAAUUAUGAUAACAGGACUUUUUGACCAUUCCUCUCUGUUCUCUUCUGACAUCUGGACUCGCAGUGAGUGACAGGAAAACAUGACUUGCAUUUCACAUGCUUCUACAUGUUUAUUAAUGUGAGUUUUUGUUUUUUAUAGAAUCAUAUUGCCCUUGGACAUUUUUUGCAAACAAUGGAGGAUCAUGCCAACAUCACUGUUCCACACAAUCUGAUUCAAAAGGCAUUUUAUCAUUUCUCUGCUCUGAGGGAGUACUCUUAUAGCUAUUCAUGUUUCAGAUGUGGUCACAGCCCUCCCAUUUUGAUUGGAGAUGGAAACUGGAAAAUUGCUUUUGAUUUACCAGCACAUCUGUUUAGGCGGCUGUGGGGACAUGGCCAGAACAAAGGCGGGGAGACACUUGCUUGCAGUCAAAAAGAGAGUUUAUUGACUCACAGAUAACAUUGGCAACAUCACAGGCCCCAUUUAUACUGCAUGGUUCAAGUGACCCAAUUCCGAUUUUUUCCUCUCAUGUGGCACAGGUCGGAUAUGACNGGCAGAUGCAAAAAAAUUAAACAGUGUUUUACUUUCAAUAAUAUAUUGAAAAGUAAAAAAAAAAAAAAAAUCAGCAAAACAUUGGUCUCGUACGGCGGAGAAGAAAAGCGCUUAAACCGUGCCUCCCCAUAUCUCGUGAAAUGUCUUCAAACUUAUUUAUUUCUGUAACAACCCUGCAUUUUUGCCUGCACUGUCUCUUCGCCCCAAAGACUUAAAAGACAUGAAACCUCCUCAUUGCUCCACUGUGUGUAUCCUUCGUCCUCUAUCACGCCUAUAAUAAGUCAUGUGAUCUCAGUUGGUGGUGUCCACCUGAGUUGACGUCACUUUUUUAAUGACGUACGACUCGCAUUUACUGGGGAAUAUCCGAUUUGUCUGCUUACAUGGCACACGCAAAUGCACGUAUCCGAUUCAUAUCCGAUUUAUUACCACAUAUGAAUGAGGCCUUAAUCCGAUCUGAGAAAAUCGGAAUCCAUGCGGUUUUUUCCUGCUUACACGUUCACCGGUCAUAUCCGAUCUGUGCCACAUGAGAGGAAAAAAUCGGAAUUGGGUCACUUGAACCAUGCAGUGUAAAUGGGGCCUAAAUGCAGCCAAAGUUGACCCUCCUCACGGAGUCCCCAACCAGAACUCACUCCUGCGAGGCCAAGUAUGCCCCUUUUACACUCAAGGGUCAAACCAUCCCAAAUCACAGGAAAAACACAAAAAGAAAAAUCAUAUACACAAACAUCUACAUAAACUCAAUUGGAUAUGAAGUCCAAAAUUAAAUAAGAUCAAUAUUACAACAACACAUUCAAAAACUGAACAAUACAUUUACAUACACACCCACAUACCAAAUAAACAAUAAACAAUGACCCCCCCUGCUCUGACU
ensembl:lncRNA